AGCGAACGCUGGCGGCAGGCCUAACACAUGCAAGUCGAGCGGCCGUAGCAAUACGGCAGCGGCAGACGGGAUAGUAACACGUGGGAACGCGCCCUUCGGUUCGGAAUAACUCAGGGAAACUUGAGCUAAUACCGGAUACGCCCUUACGGGAAAGAUUUAUUGCCGAAGGAACGGCCCGCGUCCGAUUAGCUAGUUGGUGAGGUAAUGGCUCACCAAGGCAACGAUCGGUAGCUGGCUGAGAGGAUGACCAGCAUCACUGGGACUGAGACACGGCCCAGACUCCUACGGGAGGCGGCAGUAGGGAAUCUUGCGCAAUGGGCGAAAGCCUGACGCAGCCAUGCCGCGUGAAUGAUGAAGUC
rnacentral:rRNA from 1 species